UACAGAGGUCUCAAGCGUUUGUUCGGAUUCAUUGGGCGUAAAGGGCGCGUAGGCGGCGGGGUAAGUCGGGUGUGAAACUCUCAGAGCUCAACUCUAGAAAUGGCACUUGAUACUGCUCUGCUAGAGGACUGGAGAGGAGAUUGGAAUUCACGGUGUAGCAGUGAAAUGCGUAGAUAUCGUGAGGAAGACCGGUGGCGAAGGCGGAUCUCUGGGACAGUUCCUG
rnacentral:rRNA from 1 species